GGCAUGUAGCUCAUUGGUAGGAUGCUUGCCUACCAUGCUUGAUGUCCUGGGUUCCAUCCCCAGCACCA
rnacentral:tRNA from 1 species